AAGUCGUAACAAGGUCUCCGUUGGUGAACCAGCGGAGGGAUCAUUACCGAGUCUAACAACUCAUCAACCCUGUGAACAUACCUAAACGUUGCUUCGGCGGGAACAGACGGCCCUGUAACACGGGCCGCCCCCGCCAGAGGACCCCCUAACUCUGUAUCUGUUAUGUUUUUUCUGAGUAAACAAGCAAAUAAAUUAAAACUUUCAACAACGGAUCUCUUGGCUCUGGCAUCGAUGAAGAACGCAGCGAAAUGCGAUAAGUAAUGUGAAUUGCAGAAUUCAGUGAAUCAUCGAAUCUUUGAACGCACAUUGCGCCCGCCAGUAUUCUGGCGGGCAUGCCUGUUCGAGCGUCAUUACAACCCUCAGGCCCCCGGGCCUGGCGUUGGGGAUCGGCGGAGCCCCCCGUGGGCACACGCCGUCCCCUAAAUACAGUGGCGGUCCCGCCGCAGCUUCCAUUGCGUAGUAGCUAACACCUCGCAACUGGAGAGCGGCGCGGCCACGCCGUAAAACACCCAACUUCUGAAUGUUGACCUCGAAUCAGGUAGGAAUACCCGCUGAACUUAA
rnacentral:rRNA from 1 species